rnacentral:rRNA from 1 species
UUUAUGGAGAGUUUGAUCCUGGCUCAGGAUGAACGCUGGCGGCGUGCCUAAUACAUGCAAGUCGAGCGAACAGACGAGGAGCUUGCUCCUCUGACGUUAGCGGCGGACGGGUGAGUAACACGUGGAUAACCUACCUAUAAGACUGGGAUAACUUCGGGAAACCGGAGCUAAUACCGGAUAAUAUAUUGAACCGCAUGGUUCAAUAGUGAAAGACGGUUUUGCUGUCACUUAUAGAUGGAUCCGCGCCGCAUUAGCUAGUUGGUAAGGUAACGGCUUACCAAGGCAACGAUGCGUAGCCGACCUGAGAGGGUGAUCGGCCACACUGGAACUGAGACACGGUCCAGACUCCUACGGGAGGCAGCAGUAGGGAAUCUUCCGCAAUGGGCGAAAGCCUGACGGAGCAACGCCGCGUGAGUGAUGAAGGUCUUCGGAUCGUAAAACUCUGUUAUUAGGGAAGAACAAAUGUGUAAGUAACUAUGCACGUCUUGACGGUACCUAAUCAGAAAGCCACGGCUAACUACGUGCCAGCAGCCGCGGUAAUACGUAGGUGGCAAGCGUUAUCCGGAAUUAUUGGGCGUAAAGCGCGCGUAGGCGGUUUUUUAAGUCUGAUGUGAAAGCCCACGGCUCAACCGUGGAGGGUCAUUGGAAACUGGAAAACUUGAGUGCAGAAGAGGAAAGUGGAAUUCCAUGUGUAGCGGUGAAAUGCGCAGAGAUAUGGAGGAACACCAGUGGCGAAGGCGACUUUCUGGUCUGUAACUGACGCUGAUGUGCGAAAGCGUGGG